AACUAACGCUGGGCGGCUUGUUUAACACAUGCUAGUCGAGCGCCCCGCAAGGGGAGCGGCAGACGGGUGAGUAACGCGNGGGAAUCUACCUAGCCCUAAGGAAUUGCUCCGGGAAACUGGAAUUAAUACCUUAUACNCCCUUUGGGGGAAAGAUUUAUCGGGGUUUGAUUAUCCCGCGUUGGAUUAGCUAGUUGGUGGGGUAAAGGCCUACCAAGGCGACGAUCCAUAGCUGGUCUGAGAGGAUGAUCAGCCUCNUUGGGACUGACACACGGUCCAUACUCCUACNGGAGGUAUCAUUGGGGAAUAUUGGACUUUGGGCGCUUGCCUGAUCCAGCCAUGCUGCGUGANUGAUGAAGGCCCUANGGUUGUAAAGCUCUUUCACCGGUGAAGAUAAUGACGGUUACCGGAGAAUAACCCCCGGCUCAUUUCUUGCCA
rnacentral:rRNA from 1 species